UCGGGAAUUUUGGGCAAUGGGCGAAAGCCUGACCCAGCAACGCCGCGUGAGGGAUGACGGCCUUCGGGUUGUAAACCUCUUUCAGUAGGGAAGAAGCGAAAGUGACGGUACCUGCAGAAGAAGCACCGGCUAACUACGUGCCAGCAGCCGCGGUAAUACGUAGGGAGCUAGCGUUGUUCGGAAUUACUGGGCGUAAAGCGUGCGUAGGCGGUGACUCAAGUCAGAGGUGAAAGCCUGGAGCUCAACUCCAGAACUGCCUUUGAAACUAGGUCGCUAGAAUCACGGAGAGGUGAGUGGAAUUCCGAGUGUAGAGGUGAAAUUCGUAGAUAUUCGGAAGAACACCAGUGGCGAAGGCGACUUGCUGGACUUGUAGUGACGCUGAGACGCGAAAGCGUGGGGAGCAAACAGGAUUAGAUACCCACGUAGUCCCUGAGCGGGCUGGCAAGGCGCAU
rnacentral:rRNA from 1 species